AUUGAACGCUGGCGGCGUGCUUAACACAUGCAAGUCGAUCGGUAACGCGGGGGCAACCCUGGCGACGAGAGGCGGACGGGUGAGGAACGCUUGGGAAUCUGCCUAUCAGCGGGGGACAACACGGGGAAACUCGUGCUAAUACCGCAUACGCUCUACGGAGGAAAGCCGGGGACCGCAAGGCCUGGCACUGAUAGAUGAGCCCAAGCCGGAUUAGCUAGUUGGCGGGGUAACGGCCCACCAAGGCGACGAUCCGUAGCUGGUCUGAGAGGACGAUCAGCCACACUGGGACUGAGACACGGCCCAGACUCCUACGGGAGGCAGCAGUGGGGAAUAUUGGACAAUGGGCGAAAGCCUGAUCCAGCCAUGCCGCGUGUGUGAAGAAGGUCUUCGGAUUGUAAAGCGCUUUAAGUUGGGAGGAAGGGCAGUAAGUUAAUACCUUGCUGUUUUGACGUUACCGACAGAAUAAGCACCGGCUAACUUCGUGCCAGCCGCCGCGGUAAAAC
rnacentral:rRNA from 1 species